rnacentral:rRNA from 1 species
AACGAACGGUGGCGGCGUGGAUAAGACAUGCAAGUCGAGCGGGAUUUCACUGGUAGCAAUAUUAGUGGAGUUCAGCGGCGCAAGGGUGCGUAACACGUGGGCAAUCUGCCCGGGGGAGCGGGAUAGCUCGGCGAAAGUCGAAUUAAUACCGCAUAAGACUACUACAAGCAUUUGUGGGAUGUCAAAGGUGGCGCAAGCUG